rnacentral:rRNA from 1 species
GAUGAACGCUGGCGGCGUGCCUAAUACAUGCAAGUCGAGCGAACGGACGAGAAGCUUGCUUUUCUGAUGUUAGCGGCGGACGGGUGAGUAACACGUGGAUAACCUACCUAUAAGACUGGGAUAACUUCGGGAAACCGGAGCUAAUACCGGAUAAUAUUUUGAACCGCAUGGUUCAAAAGUGAAAGACGGUCUUGCUGUCACUUAUAGAUGGAUCCGCGUUGCAUUAGCUAGUUGGUAAGGUAACGGCUUACCAAGGCAACGAUGCAUAGCCGACCUGAGAGGGUGAUCGGCCACACUGGAACUGAGACACGGUCCAGACUCCUACGGGAGGCAGCAGUAGGGAAUAUUCCGCAAUGGGCGAAAGCCUGACGCAGCAAUGCCGCGUGAGUGAAGAAGGCCUUCGGAUCGUAAAGCCCUGUUAUUAGGGAAGAACAGAUGCGUAAGUAUCCGUGGAUAUCCUGACGGUACCUAAUCAGUAAGCACCGGCUAACUACGUG